GACGAACGCUGGCGGCGUGCUUAACACAUGCAAGUCGAACGGAAAGGCCCUGCUUGCCGGGUACUCGAGUGGCGAACGGGUGAGUAACACGUGGGUGAUCUGCCCUGCACUUCGGGAUAAGCCUGGGAAACUGGGUCUAAUACCGGAUAGGAGCCAUUUUUAGUGUGAUGGUUGGAAAGUUUUUUCGGUGUAGGAUGAGCUCGCGGCCUAUCAGCUUGUUGGUGGGGUAAUGGCCUACCAAGGCGGCGACGGGUAGCCGGCCUGAGAGGGUGGACGGCCACAUUGGGACUGAGGUACGGCCCAGACUCCUACGGGAGGGAGCAGGGGGGAAGAUUGGACAAUGGGCGCAAGCCUGAUGCAGCGACGCCGCGUGGGGGAUGACGGCCUUCGGGUUGUAAACUCCUUUCGCUAGGGACGAAGCUUUUUGUGACGGUACCUAGAUAAGAAGCACCGGCUAACUACGUG
rnacentral:rRNA from 1 species